AGAGCUAGAAGGUGGUUCCUAUAAAUGCAGGCAGCUCACAACAGGAAGUGGUAGUCAAAGGGAGAGAAGCUGAAGAAACUGCUGUUCUAUUUGCUGGGCCCUGAGUCAGAGCAAGGAAGCCAGCAGGGAGGCCUGGGAGAGACCCUGACUGAACAGGGAAGAGGCUGAAGAAUAGCAUGAAAGAGGGCAAAAGGUUUUGAUUUUGUGUUAAGACAUUUGUGGACUUUGUUUGGACAGCUGUUACCAUAGAAGGGGGUGGACAAAAGACUGACCUGGCUAGAGGACUGAAUUAUGAUAGAGACACCAUGAGAGUGCUGGAGUGACCAUUCUCAGGGGGCUUGGUGAGAGAGCUGCGAUGCCACACCUGCCUAAUGUUAUAACUGAUAGUUCCUUGCAAGUCCUGCUGUGUCCCAGAAGAAGUCUCAAAGACAGAUGCCGCAAGUAAUUUACAAGUUUUUCUCUACAGGAAGAAGAGCUGGAGAGUUGGUCCCAUCCUGUUCCCCUACUGUUAAGUUAUAUGCAACAGUACAAAGUAUAUCAAUUACAACAGUAAUUUGUGAUGCUAUGCAUUGACUAACAAAGGAGCACAAAGAAAAGGAACAAUGGAGGCACGACUGAACAAUCUGGAGUUAUUUAUUAGGAAAAGUAAGACAAAGUACUGUUUCAACAUUCAUACUGAACAAAACCAGAAAAAUAAACUACAGAAAAGUAGGUCCAUCAUACUGAAGUUGGCUUAUGGCAAUACAGUACAAAGUAGUAAAUUAAAUCCAAACUUAAUUUAUGCAAGCAAGCAGUAAAGAGUUGUAUACAGUUUUGAUAGGGAUGGAUUACAUUGUAGGCACAAUCAAUUUGGCCACAAUGAAAAUACUUAAUUACAUUAUAUCUAUUCUGUACAUUCAAUAAUGAGCAGCUAUAAAAGGAAAAAAUAAAUUAAACAAUUUACAAGAGAUGUACUACAGUUUACAUAAAGGUAUAAUUUAAUAAAGUUAAUACAAAUUUGCAGCACAUUGUACUUUUUACAUCAUAUCUUCAGUGUCGGAACAGUAAACAAAUAAGCUCAGACAUAAGUACAAUACAAUAGAAUAAGGCAACUUAACUGAAAUGGCUCUUAUGGAGAACAUCUUCCUCGUGUGGGUUUGGAGUUUGAUUUACUAUCCCUUUUGCUAAGGAACUAAAAACUCUGAAUGUAUGAUUUGGUCACUAGAAGGCCUACAGCUGGUGAGAAAAUACACAUGGCUAAAAUGACAAAUGUAGAAACAGAUGGUGCUGACUAUCAAAAGACAAUGUUUUGCUUAUGUCCCAUCUCAGUCAACACCAAAGUAAUGCAAGUUUUCAGGUUCUUGGUACUGCAAAUUUAAUUUUUUUUCCCCAAACAUCCUCAUUCCCUACAAAAAUCUGUGUUUAAAUGAGUCUUUUGUAAUGUUCAAUCUGAAGCCAAUGUAACUGCUUAAAGGCUUUGUAUUUACAAAGGUCUAAAAUAUCCAUGCUGAAGGAAUUGUGAAAUUUGAACAGAUUAAAACUUAUUACUGCAGAUUAACAAUUCAGAAAUCCUAUUUCAGUUUAUUUUAUGGAUAGGACUACUUAACAAGUUAACCUUUAAAAUUAACUAAUUCACAAUUUUCAACAAAAGCGAUUAAUAGUUAGUGAUGGCUGUACUUUUUGAAGUGCUAACACAGAAGGACACAGUAAGCCCACAGCAGUUGGUACUAAAACUUUGUCUACUCUAAACAGCUACAAUGAUAAAGCAUGUGAAAGUAUAAGAUUAACAUCUAAAGCUAGUUUUAAAACUAAAAUUCUAGAAAUGGAAAGUGAUCCAUGUCAUAAAAUUCACAAAUUGAAUGUAAUCAGCUUUACAGAAAGCCAGCCCCAUGAAUGGCUCUUAACCUUAAUGAAUUUCAAUCCAAAUAUAUAAAAAAGGAAGCUUGACAUAAGGCCAUGAGAAAUUGUUGCAAUUUGACAAAUUUCAAAUCUAUCAAAAGGACCAGGCCAUAAAUAUUAAUUCUAUUUACAACUUAAAUUUCUAAUUUAAUUAAAUUUCAACUUAAAAUUCUAAAUUUUUCCAAAUGAUUUAGCACCAGCAGCAAUAUGCAAAGCAGCACUAUUUUCCCCAUUUGCGUGU